UUGAUAAAUUUUGAACAGCUGUUUACAGUCUCUGAGAAUGGAUUAUUCCCCAUCCUAAUGGACAUUUAUUUUGUUUCUGCAGAUUCCCCAAGUGGGACCUACACAACAGCUCCCACUUCUGAUAUCUCUGGUGCAGCUUCUUCAUGAUUCAAUUGAGCAGUGGAUCCCAGAUCCUCAGGUUUGGAUCCUGAUUCUUCAAGUGAGACCUUCUCAAGUCGUGUUUCCAUCCCGUCUCAGAAGUGUGAGCAGUGUCACCGUCAGAGGGAUCUUCACAGCUGGUUUCUCCCUCACACUUUCUCAUCCUCACUGUCUUCAGUGGGUCACUGAUUGACCUGAAAUGAAGCAACGUCCUGAGGGAACUCGGAGACAGCUUUUAUAUUGAAGGAAUUGAUUUUGCAUCUGACGUAAACAAGUUUCAAAUGUUAUGUAAAUCUCUGUACAUAAAUAUCAGUUUUACAUAUUCUAAUUCUUAAAUAAAUAUAUAAAUAUUAUAAAUCUGAGUUAUUGUUGAAUACUAAAAUCUAUCACUACUUAUCACCAUUGUUUAACUACAAUCACCAAUAUGUGUCAUUUGUAAUCAUUAAAAGUUAUUUAUUGACUUA